AGCGAACGCUGGCGGCAGGCCUAACACAUGCAAGUCGAACGGAUCCUUCGGGAUUAGUGGCGGACGGGUGAGUAACACGUGGGAACGUGCCCUUUGGUUCGGAACAACUCAGGGAAACUUGAGCUAAUACCGGAUGUGCCCUUCGGGGGAAAGAUUUAUCGCCAUUGGAGCGGCCCGCGUCUGAUUAGCUAGUUGGUGAGGUAACGGCCCACCAAGGCGAGGAUCAGUAGCUGGUCUGAGAGGAUGAUCAGCCACACUGGGACUGAGACACGGCCCAGACUCCUACGGAAGGCAGCGGUAGGGAAUCUUGCGCGAUGGAGGAAGGCCUAGCGCAGCCAUGCCGGGUGAAUGAUGAAGGUCUUAGGAUUGUAAAAUUCUUUCAGCGGGGACGAUAAUGACGGUACCCGCAGAAGAAGCUCCGGCUAACUUCGUG
rnacentral:rRNA from 1 species